rnacentral:rRNA from 1 species
UACAGAGGGGGCAAGCGUUGUUCGGAAUUACUGGGCGUAAAGGGCGCGUAGGCGGCCUCUUAAGUCGAACGUGAAAUCCCCGGGCUCAACCCGGGAACUGCGUCCGAUACUGGGGGGCUUGAAUCCGGGAGAGGGAUGCGGAAUUCCAGGUGUAGCGGUGAAAUGCGUAGAUAUCUGGAGGAACACCGGUGGCGAAGGCGGCAUCCUGGACCGGUAUUGACGCUGAUGCGCGAAAGCCAGGGGAGCAA